rnacentral:tRNA from 1 species
GGGCGGAUAGUUCAGCUGGGAGAACGCCUGCCUUACACGCAGGAGGUCACAGGUUCAAUCCCUGUUCCGCCUACCG